rnacentral:lncRNA from 1 species
CUGAGGCGCGUUCGGCCAAUAGCGUGGGAGAAGGUGGGUGGGGCCACCUCUAGCGCCGCGGCGAGGGGCAGCCAAGAUGGCGGCCGGGGGGGGCCGGUGGACGCGGUGCUGUCCGAUCCCCGUUCCCGCGCUCAACGUCGCCACCCCCCACUCGGAGGCAUGAGAACAUCAAAACUACAUGACAGCAUCACCUGGCACCAGUUAGCGCGGCUCUCCCAGAGAGCAUUGUGAUACUUCGGGUCCAGAUGGCCUCCGGGCAUGCAGAGGUUUGACAGGGAGGAAGGUCAGAGAGAGGGACAAAGAGGAAUGAAUGAGGAAGGAGUUCUGCUUGCAACUGAGAUAAGUGGACCUUUUGCCUUUCAACAUAUGUUAAGUGUGGAAUAUGAGAGCAGCCAAGCAGUCUGUGACAACUUUGUUUUGCAAAGUACUCAAAUUGGACCAGAAUGUGAAGCUUUAAGAACAUGGGAAAACAUUUCACGUAAUGCAGAACAGUAAUGUUAUAACAGAUCUUAUAUUUCAGAACCUCUCGGUACUCGUUUCUGUGUUUAUUUAAAGAAACUACUGUUAACACAUCAGAACUCAAG